rnacentral:rRNA from 1 species
ACGAACGCUGGCGGCAUGCCUAACACAUGCAAGUCGAACGAACCCUUCGGGGUUAGUGGCGCACGGGUGUGUAACGCGUGGGAAUCUGCCCUUUGCUUCGGAAUAACUCAGGGAAACUUGUGCUAAUACCGGAUGAUGUCUUCGGACCAAAGAUUUAUCGGCAAGGGAUGAGCCCGCGUAGGAUUAGGUAGUUGGUGGGGUAAAGGCCUACCAAGCCGACGAUCCUUAGCUGGUCUGAGAGGAUGAUCAGCCACACUGGGACUGAGACACGGCCCAGACUCCUACGGGAGGCAGCAGUGGGGAAUAUUGGACAAUGGGCGCAAGCCUGAUCCAGCAAUGCCGCGUGAGUGAUGAAGGCCCUCGGGUCGUAAAGCUCUUUUACCAGGGAUGAUAAUGACAGUACCUGGAGAAUAAGCUCCGGCUAACUCCGUG